UCCUGACUGCUUUUUAUGUUUUUUUUUUUUUGUUGCUGCUGCUUAUAGGAAAGGGUUCAGAAAUAUAGUGGAGUGUUUUUUGGACUAACUCUC